AUGAUCCAUGGACAUUCUCUUCUCCUUCAUCUAGCUCUGGGCUCAGCCUCUCCCGAUCUCUUUCUAGAAGUGCGGAGAUGGCGGCGCCAAAACCCUAGAGGAGAGGGAGAAGAGCAGAGAUGGCGGCGUCUUCUCCAUGGCGUUGAGCGCGAGGGAGACGGUGAGCUCGCCCCCGCCCUCCUCCGCCAGAGAGAGCUCGCCAGCGGCAGGGCUCCGCCGCUGCUGCUAUGCUCGGCUGCGGGAGCGGGAGCGGCGCCCCGGCGCGCACAUCGUGGGGAGCCUGGCCAGCGCCGGCGGCGGCUCCACUCGGUCCUCGGCGGCGGCGGAUCGACUCGGAUCUCAGCGGGGCUCGUCUUGGAUCUCGGCGGCGGCUCGUAUUGGGGGCUGAGGCUCCUCUGCAGCGACCGGAGAUGA
rnacentral:rRNA from 1 species